GCGGCGGUGGCGGCUUCAACAGCAGCUCUUGCCCUUAAGGAACAAUCCACAGCAUGUUCCGAAGAGAUGAUUGGAAGAUGGAAGUGGAGGGUUAAAUAAUGAAAUGCAGCUAACAUUUCGGAAAGUUUCUAAAAGUUGUACAACAUGCCCUACAGCUACUCUUUAAAUCUCCAAAUCAAAUGAGUUUCAGGUGGAGCCUCUGGGAGGUGAUGAGGUCAUGAGAGUGGAGCCUCAUGAAUGGGAUGAGCACUCCUACAAAAAGGAUUCCAGAGAGCUCGCUUGCUCCUUCCACAGUGUGAGGACACAGAGGGAAGGCUCUGUCUAUGAAUGAGAAAGUGGGUCCCCACCAGACAUUGAAUCUGCCGCAUCUUGAUACUGGACUUCCAGUCUCCAGAACUGUGGGCAAUAAAUGUCUGUUGUUUAUUACCUGUCCAGUAUCUUUGGUAUUUUGCUAUAGCAACCCAAAUGGACUAAGAAAACACCAGAGGCCAUACCUAAUAAAAAUAUUGACAUCACAAU
rnacentral:lncRNA from 1 species